CCUACGGGUGGCAGCAGUAAGGAAUAUUGCUCAAUGGAGGAAACCCUGAAGCAGCAACGCAGCGUGCAGGAUGAAGGUUUUCGGAUUUUAAACUCCUUUUGUUAGAGAAGAUAAUGACGGUAUCUAACGAAUAAGCACCGGCUAACUCCGUGCCAGCAGCCGCGGUAAUACGGAGGGUGCAAGCGGUACUCGGAAUUACUGGGCUGAACGGGCGCGUAGGCGGGAUAGCAAGUCAGAUGUGAAAUCCUAUGGCUUAACCAUAGAAUUGCAUUUGAAACUGUUAUCCUAGAGUAUGGGAGAGGGAGGUGGAAUUCUUGGUGUAGGGGUAAAAUCCGUAGAGAUCAAGAGGAAUACUCAUUGCGAAGGCGACCUGCUAGAACAUAACUGACGCUGAUGCGCGAAAGCGUGGGGAGCAAACAGGAUUAGAUACCCUGGUAGUC
rnacentral:rRNA from 1 species